UUCCUUUUCUCCAUUAAUUCAAAAAAUAUCAAAAAGAUCUUUUUAUUUUAAAUGAUUCUAUCUUUUAUCGUAAAUAAUUUGUAAAUGAUUCUAUCUUUUUUCUUUUUUUUUCCUUGUAAAUAUCUUAAUAAAUAACUUAAUAAAUAAAAAUAAAAUAAAACAAACAUGCGUUAACAAACAAUUAACCCUUAGAAUUAUAUGAGGUUCCCGUUGAGUACAACAGAUGUGAGGGGUGCCUAACACUUUCUC
rnacentral:lncRNA from 1 species